GACGAACGCUGGCGGCGUGCUUAACACAUGCAAGUCGAACGGAAAGGCCCUGCUUUUGUGGGGUGCUCGAGUGGCGAACGGGUGAGUAACACGUGAGUAACCUGCCCUUGACUUUGGGAUAACUUCAGGAAACUGGGGCUAAUACCGGAUAGGAGCUCCUGCUGCAUGGUGGGGGUUGGAAAGUUUCGGCGGUUGGGGAUGGACUCGCGGCUUAUCAGCUUGUUGGUGGGGUAGUGGCUUACCAAGGCUUUGACGGGUAGCCGGCCUGAGAGGGUGACCGGCCAGAUUGGGAGGGAGAUACGGCCCAGACUGCUACGGGAGGCAGCAGUGGGGAAGAGUGGACAAUGGGCGGAAGCCUGAUGCAGCAACGCCGCGUGCGGGAUGACGGCCUUCGGGUUGUAAAGCGCUUUCGCCUGUGACGAAGCGUGAGUGAAGGUAAUGGGUAAAGAAGCACCGGGUAACUACGUG
rnacentral:rRNA from 1 species